rnacentral:rRNA from 2 species
UCAGUGAGGCGUCCGGACUGGCCCAGGGAGGUCGGCAACGACCACCCAGGGCCGGAAAGUUCGUCAAACUUGGUCAUUUAGAGGAAGUAAAAGUCGUAACAAGGUCUCCGUAGGUGAACCUGCGGAGGGAUCAUU